AGCGCCGACGAAAGCGAUGGCGAAGGAUCGGGAUGGAUGGAUCGGAAGGAUCGAGAGGAAUGGAUCGGGACAAAGCGACGAUCGAAAGAAGGAAUCCGAGUAUUCGGAAAAUGG
rnacentral:sRNA from 1 species